rnacentral:lncRNA from 1 species
CGAACAUCUGCCACCAAUCCUCCUCUGUCGGCCGAGGAAGACUGGCCCUGAGCUGACAUCCGUGCCCAUCCCCCUCUACUUUCCAGGGAACGCCGUUCGCUCCUUCUUCUAGAAAAAGCUCCCAAAGCACCACCGCCCAGGAUGGUCGACCUACGCCCAUCGUCCCUCCUUUCCCAAUCAUUUCUACCGCGACAGAGGGACAGAGGCCCCUGCCCCAUCCCCAUCCCCACCCCCACCCCCAUCGCCUGCCUCCUUGAUGGCCAAAGGAGCUGCCUCUGAGAAUGGAACGGGGCUUGGAAACCUUCUAGAGGGGUGACUCUCACCUGCCUGCCUGCUGGGAAAAGCACCACGCUGUCCAUCGGACUGCUCUUUUGGGCAAACGUAGGCGUGCCACAUAGCGAUCGACAGCUAUGGCGGGGGGGGGGGGGGCGGGGUGGCGUGGUGGUGCCCAGGAUCCACGACACGUGACGGCUGCGGAGCACGACAGCCCUAAGACCUUGAGGGAGACGGGGUGGCGCGUGAAUCCUUUCGGAACGAGAACGACAGGAAACGCUGACGGGGACGUGUUCUCCUCUCGAGAACACACCAACGCCUCGCACGGUGUCUGACCCGGGGUGCCUCUGACUUUUGUCAUCAGAGACGAUCCUCUCGACCGCCCCUCACGCUUUGGGGAAAAGGGGAGAGGGACUCGGUAGCACGGGAAAAGCCAUCCAUCCGCCCUUCCUUUCCGUCUUCACGGCUCCUUCUCGUGGAAAACGAGGAAGCCGUCCGGAGGAACGGAACACUGACCCGGGCCAAAGCGUGGCCCAGCCUGAGCCUCCAAAACCUUCUGCUAAGUGAGAGGUGCCAGACAUCCAAGGCGACCUACGUUGCGAUUCCACACAGAGGAGAGAGCUAGAACGGUCCAACCCUAGAGGGCGACAGCAGAUGGCGGCGGCGGCGGCGGCGGCAGCGGUGGUGGUGAUCGUGGUGGGGCAGAUCCGGGAGUGGGGCCGUUUUUUCUUUCGGGGGGAGGGGAUGGAAACGGAAACCUUCUGGAAAUAGAUAGCCAUGACGGAUGCGCCACCUUGGGGAGAGAGACUCCCGAAGGCCACUGGCUUGUGCCCCGUGGAAAGGAUGGAUUCGGUGGGAUGGGAAUUCUACCUCCGUGUAGAGCGUGUGGUAAACCACGAGGGAUUCCUCAGAGGGCGUCUCUUGGCUCCCCAAACGAAGAAUGUGUGUGUGGAGAUCGAGAAAGAUCACCGACCUAGGAGAACCAGCAAGACUUCCUCACCCGCCAGAGAGCCGCUGGGCCCCUGCCGUCCCUGCCACCGCCACCCCCGCCACCCCUACCCCUCGCCUUUGGCAGCGACGCCAACGAAAGGCAGGCAGACGAGUGGGAGAGUCGUGUGGUGGUGUCCCCCAAGGAAGAAAACAAGGGGCCGGGGGCCGAGCCCGUGGACGAACGGUCAAGUAGCGCCCCCCACCCCGGCCCCCGGCUUCGACGGCCCAGGUUUUCACCGGUUCGGAUCCUGGGCGCAGCCCCAGACCCAGCAUCGCCCUUCAAGCCACGCCGAGGCGGCGUCCCACAUAGCAGAAACGCGAAAGACCUACCACUGGAACCUACAACUAUGGACGGGACGGGACGGGACGGGGCGGGGCGGGGCGGGGCGGGGCGGGGGGGUGGGGGGGGGGGCGGCUUUGGGGAGCAGGAAGAAAGAAAAAAUAAAAGAAACACAAGGACGGUCAUCGCGAUAGUUCUUUCCACUUCCAUCCAUAUGUUAACAGGACCCAAGUUUCCCGACCUCCAUUUGGAUGUAUGUUAACUAAAUGGAGAAGCUAUUCAAAGGACUCCUCUAAAGAAGUCCACGUUCUUCUUUCUAAAUGAUAAUGAAAAUCAUUGUCACCACCGCUCUUCCGACCCUCCAUGCCGACUCGGUCACGGAAAGCGGCCUUGGGGAGGUUUUGGCGAACGUCCCUGUCCCGGGGCCGUCUGCCGACUAGGGGACGGAGUCCUCCUCCAUGCUCCUUCUCGCCCCCAGUCGGGCGGGUUGUGGGUCGCGCGGUCGACUUGGCCAUUUCCCCGGAGGCAUCCUGCCUGCCGGGGCUCCCUCCCUCGGGCCGGUGCGAGCGGUCCUCGGGCGGCCCGGGAAUUUGGGCCGCAGCGAACGAACGAACGAAGCCCGUCCCUCCUGCGUCGGCACCGAUGAGACACAGCCCUGGUGGAUGGAGCCGCUUUCCUCGGGUUUCCUUUUGCUUUCGGCCGCUGCUGCCACCAAACCUCCCUAAACGAUAGGAAUGAAAACGGGAACCGUUGGCAUAAUAAAAGCGUUUUGGUUGGCGUGUUUCUUGGCUUUUGGGGACUCGAGAGGUAUGAUGGAUGAUCUCCGAUUGACGUUGGGAAGGUCUAUUUCAUCCCAGUCGCACGAACCCCGAAAACGUGGCGGCUGGACGAGGGAGGGAGGGAGGGAGGGAGGGAGGGAGGGAGGCCAACCACGGGAUUUCCGCACGACCAGCUGAUGGACACGAGCGCCCCGUGAGCCGGGCGGAGGGCAGCCGCCCGGGUCUCGCAGCUACGUGCCCGCGGAACCCUCGGGACUGCGAGAAGCCGGAGCGACCCGCAGCCAUGUGGCGCUCGGCGCGGACAUCUGGUCGACCCGCGCGCCACGGGACCCGGGGCCCGAGUCCGGGCCGGGCCGCCGGUCGACCCGGCAGGGCGGCUGCCCCGGGGGCCUCGCGGCUGCUCGUCCGCAGCCUCCAGGGAGCCCUCGGGGCUCCGAGAAGGCCGAGCGCCCCGCGGCCCCACGGCCCCGCGGCGCUCGGUGCGGACAUCUGGUCGACCCGCUCCCCCCCCCCCCCCCCGAGACACGGGGGUCGGGUCGCCGGUCGACCCGGCAGGGCGGCGGCCACG